rnacentral:rRNA from 1 species
AGUUUGAACUGAAGAGUUUGAUCCUGGCUCAGAUUGAACGCUGGCGGCAUGCCUAACACAUGCAAGUCGAACGCGAAAGGGGGGCAACCCCCGAGUAGAGUGGCGGACGGGUGAGUAAUACGUAGGAAUCUGCCCAGUAGUGGGGGACAACUUAGGGAAACUUAAGCUAAUACCGCAUACGCACUACGGUGGAAAGCAGGGGAUCGCAAGACCUUGCGCUAUUGGAUGAGCCUACGUCUGAUUAGCUUGUUGGUGAGGUAACGGCUCACCAAGGCGACGAUCAGUAGCUGGUUUGAGAGAACGACCAGCCACACUGGGACUGAGACACGGCCCAGACUCCUACGGGAGGCAGCAGUGGGGAAUAUUGGACAAUGGGGGCAAC